rnacentral:rRNA from 1 species
ACGCUCGACACCUACUGGAGGCAGCAGUGGGGAAUAUUGGGCAAUGGAGGCAACUCUGACCCAGCAACGCCGCGUGAAUGAUGAAGGUCUUCGGAUUGUAAAGUUCUGUGACGGGGGACGAACACAAUGACGGUACCCCGACAGCAAGCCACGGCUAACUACGUGCCAGCAGCCGCGGUAAUCUGAGCGGGCUGGCAAGGC